GACGAACGCUGGCGGCGUGCCUAAUACAUGCAAGUUGAGCGCUGAAGGUUGGUACUUGUGCCAACUGGAUGAGCAGCGCACGGGUGAGUAACGCGUGGGGAAUCUGCCUUUGAGCGGGGGACAACAUUGGGAAACGAAUGCUAAUACCGCAUAAAAACUUUAAACACAAGUUUGAAGGUUGAAAGAUGCAAUUGCAUCACUCAAAGAUGAUCCCGCGUUGUAUUAGCUAGUUGGUGAGGUAAAGGCUCACCAAGGCGAUGAUACAUAGCCGACCUGAGAGGGUGAGCGGCCACCUUGGGACUGAGACACGGCCCAAACUCCUACGGGAGGCGGCAGUAGGGAAUCUUCGGCCAUGGACGGGAGUCUGACCGAGCAACGCCGCGUGAGUGAAGAAGGUUUUCGGGUCGUAAAACUCUGUUGGUAGGGAAGAACGUUGGUGAGAGUGGAAAGCUCAUCAAGUGACGGUAACUACCCAGAAAGGGACGGCUAACUACGUG
rnacentral:rRNA from 1 species